GCAGGCUGCAACCCGCCUGCAUGGAGUCGGAAUCGCUAGUAAUCGCGGAUCAGCAUGCCGCGGUGAAUACGUUCCCGGGCCUUGUACACACCGCCCGUCACACCAUGAGAGUCGGGAACACCCGAAGUCCGUAGCCUAACCGUAAGGAGGGCGCGGCCGAAGGUGGGUUCGAUAAUUGGGGUGAAGUCGUAACAAGGUACC
rnacentral:rRNA from 1 species